rnacentral:tRNA from 1 species
GGAGAGGUGGCAGAGUGGUCGAAUGCGGCGGUCUCGAAAACCGUUGCCCUGCGUAAGUAGGGUCCUGGGUUCGAAUCCCAGCCUCUCCG